UAAUUUAUAUAGUCUAGUCUCUAAUUCAUUUAUUCUUGUUUCUAAUGUGAUUAUCCUUAGGUUGAUAGUAUAAUCUUCUAUUUUCUUAUGUUUUUCUUCUUUGUUUAUUUUUGUUUCUAAUUCUUUUUCUAUACACAUUAUACAACCUUCUAUAUAACAGUAUUACAUUUAGCUCUUUUUUCUCUAAUAGGGCACCAUUUACAAAAGAAACAUGCUGUAACGAUCUGUUUGGUCAUUUAACACUUUAAAACUACGAAAAGGGUAUGAGACUAUAUUGUAUUUAAUUAUAUGAUUUGAAUACAUGUUAUAGUUUAUAUGAGAUGAUAAAUAGAGCGAAGUAAUCUGAGGACUAAUGAUAUAUUACAUCUGGUGAAAGGGCAAUUGAUGUCUUAGGAAGACAUUUGAUAUGUAAAAGAAAAAAUAAAUGGAGAAGGCCACUUUCAUUAUGAUGCCAGGAAUGAGUGGCAUUUGUAAUGAAAAAAAAAAUAAAAAAAAUAAAGUAGGCCAGCCCACCAUUCCUUGUUUUAUGCAUUCCUUGUUUUAUGCAUCCUUGUUUUGUGAUCCUUGUUUUGUGCAUUUAGUCAUCAUAACCUUGUGUUGCGCACGUUAUAUUCCAAAAGAAGGAGGAAAAAAGUAGAAGGAAAAAUCUUGUUUUGUGCAAGAUAUAUUACGAAAGAAAUAGGAAAAAACAGAAGGAAAAUUAUUCACUUAUUUCUAACCUAGAGGGGAGAAAAAGGACGAACAGAAGGGGCUUUGUCAAUUAAUGUUGUAGGAGCAGUGAAGCUUUAUUUUAUUUCCACCAAAUACAAAGGCAAUCAGUUUUUGAUCGUUCAGAGGCUCUACGCAAAGGGAAGACAUUAGUUUGAUUGUUCGUGGCACCCGCUCGGCAUUGAGAGUACGAUCCAGGUUCCAGUUAUACACCCCGUGGCUGAUACGCGAGGGUGACAUCUUUCAGUCAUUCAGGGUGAGCUACUUGGUCAUCCGUGGCCCCUGAAGGACCUCCUCUAUUUAUUUCUGUUUUUGUAUUCUACAGACAAUAUGUAGCCUUCUGGCAUUUUCAGACUUCUAUUCCGUAAUAUGUUAGCGCACGUGUAUCCUUUGACCAGAUUUUUGGGGUUGUUGUCACGACCCAACCCCAUAGGCCGCGACUAGUGUCCGACAUGGACACCCGUACAUACUUGCUAACCAAA